UCAGAGUGAACGCUGGCGGCGUGGAUUAGGCAUGCAAGUCGCGCGAUCCCCCCUUCGGGAGGGAUAGCGGCAAACGGGUGAGUAACACGUGGGUAAUUUACCCUUAAACCAGACACAGCUUCGUGAAAACGGAGGUAAUAUCUGAUAAUACCUUUGGUGUGUAUGCACCGAUGGUUAAAGGUGGGGACCGCAAGGCCUGCCGUUUAAGGAUAAGCCUGCGUCCUAUCAGCUUGUUGGUGGGGUAAUGGCCCACCAAGGCUAUGACGGGUAGCUGGUCUGAGAGGAUGGUCAGCCACACUGGGACUGAGACACUGCCCAGACUCCUACGGGAGGCUGCAGUCGAGGAUAUUUAGCAAUGGGCGAAAGCCUGACUAUGCGACGCCGCGUGAGGGAUGAAGGUUCUCGGAUCGUAAACCUCUUUUGUCAGAAAAGAAACCUUCAAUGUUAAUAGCAUUGAAGCUGACGGUACCUGACGAAUAAGCCACGGCCAACUCCGUGCCAGCAGCCGCGGUAAUACGGAGGUGGCAAGCGUUACUCGGAAUUAUUGGGUGUAAAGGGCAAGUAGGUGGUUUUGUAAGUGAGGGGUGAAAUCUUGCGACUCAAUCGCAAAAUUGCCUUUCAAACUGCUAAACUUGAGGAUGGAAGAGGAAAACGGAAUUCCCGGUGUAAGGGUGAAAUCUGUGGAUAUCGGGAAGAACACCAGCGGCGAAGGCGGUUUUCUGGUCCAUCUCUGACACUGAAUUGCGAAAGCUAGGGGAGCAAACAGAAUUAGAUACUCUGGUAGUCCUAGCCGUAAACGAUGAGCACUAGGUUUUGGCCUUAACCGGUCAGAGCCGAAGCUAACGCAUUAAGUGCUCCACCUGGGGACUACGGUCGCAAGGCUAAAACUCAAAGGAAUUGACGGGGGCCCGCACAAGCGGUGGAACAUGUGGUUCAAUUCGAUGCUACGCGAAAAACCUCACCAAGGCUUGACAUGCAGGAAGUAGUGAACUGAAAGGGGAACGACCUGUCAAAUCAGGAGCCUGCACAGGUGCUGCAUGGCUGUCGUCAGCUCGUGUCGUGAGAUGUUGGGUUAAGUCCCGCAACGAGCGCAACCAUUACUUUUAGUUGCCACUGUUUUGUAUCGUAAGAUAUGGGAUAAGCACUCUAAAGGGACUGCCUGGGUUAACCAGGAGGAAGGUGGAGAUGACGUCAAGUCAGUACGGCCUUUAUGCCUUGGGCUACACACGUGUUACAAUGGGGAGUACAAAGGGUUGCCAACCCGCGAGGGGGAGCUAAUCCCAGAAAACUACCCUCAGUUCAGAUUGGAGUCUGCAAUUCGACUCCAUGAAGCCGGAAUCGCUAGUAAUGGCGGAUCAGCACGCCGCCGUGAAUACGUUCCCGGGCCUUGUACACACCGCCCGUCAAGCGAUGGGAGUUAGGGGUACCCGAAGUCCUAUGUAGAUAGGCCGAAGGUAAAACUGAUGACUGG
rnacentral:rRNA from 1 species